UGGUUCUCGCAUCGAUGAAGAGCGCAGCGAAAUGCGAUAAGUAAUGUGAAUUGCAGAAUUCAGUGAAUCAUCGAAUCUUUGAACGCACCUUGCGCUCCUUGGUAUUCCGAGGAGCAUGCCUGUUUGAGUGUCAUGUUAACUCUCAACCCUUGUGGUUGGAUUAUGGACGUUGCGGGAGCUUUCCGCUCGUCUCAAAUGCAUUUAAUGCCAUACUUUGCGGUGUUCGGGCUGCAGGGCGAGGCUGCGGGCUAAGUCAUACUUGCCACGGCGCCGGCUCAUGCGCGGUUCACUCGCAAACAGGGUCAUGUCAAUAUGACCCACUUGACUUCUGGCCUCAAAUCAGGUAGGAUUACCCGCUGA
rnacentral:misc_RNA from 1 species